UACGGAGGAUCCGAGCGUUAUCCGGAUUUAUUGGGUUUAAAGGGUGCGCAGGCGGGAGAUUAAGUCGGCGGUGAAAUUUUGCAGCUCAACUGUAAAAGUGCCUUCGAUACUGGUUUCCUUGAGUGUGGAUGAAGUAGGCGGAAUUUGUGGUGUAGCGGUGAAAUGCUUAGAUAUCACGAAGAACUCCGAUUGCGCAGGCAGCUUACUAAACCACUACUGACGCUCAGGCACGAAGGCGUGGGGAUCAAACAGGAUUAGAUACCCCUGUA
rnacentral:rRNA from 1 species